rnacentral:rRNA from 1 species
UACGGGGGGGGCAAGCGUUGUUCGGAAUUACUGGGCGUAAAGGGCUCGUAGGUGGCCAACUAAGUCAGACGUGAAAUCCCUCGGCUUAACCGGGGAACUGCGUCUGAUACUGGAUGGCUUGAGAUUGGGAGAGGGAUGCGGAAUUCCAGGUGUAGCGGUGAAAUGCGUAGAUAUCUGGAGGAACACCGGUGGCGAAGGCGGCAUCCUGGACCGGCAUUGACGCUGAGGCGCGAAAGCUAGGGGAGCAAACGGG